GCUUUGGGAUGAGACUGUACGGUAUCAGCUAGUUGGUGAGGUAAUGGCUCACCAAGGCUAUGACAUCUAACUGGUUUGAGAGGAUGAUCAGUCACACUGGAACUGAGACACGGUCCAGACUCCUACGGGAGGCAGCAGNGGGGAAUAUUGCACAAUGGAGGAAACUCUGAUGCAGCAACGCCGCGUGGAGGAUGACACAUUUCGGUGCGUAAACUCCUUUUAUUAGGGAAGAUAAUGACGGUACCUAAUGAAUAAGCACCGGCUAACUCCGUGCCAGCAGCCGCGGUAAUACGGGGGGUGCAAGCGUUACUCGGAAUCACUGGGCGUAAAGAGAAUGUAGGCUGGUUAUUAAGUUGGAAGUGAAAUCCUAUGGCUCAACCAUAGAACUGCUUCCAAAACUGAUUACCUAGAAUAUGG
rnacentral:rRNA from 1 species